rnacentral:rRNA from 1 species
ACGCUCGACACUUACGGGGGCAGCAGUGGGGAAUAUUGCACAAUGGGGGAAACCCUGAUGCAGCAACGCCGCGUGAAGGAAGACGGUUUUCGGAUUGUAAACUUCUGUUCUUAGUGAAGAUAGUGACGGUAGCUAAGGAGCAAGCCACGGCUAACUACGUGCAGCAGUCGCGGUAAUCUGAGCGGGCUGGCAAGGC